rnacentral:rRNA from 1 species
GACGAACGCUGGCGGCAGGCUUAACACAUGCAAGUCGAGCGCCCCGCAAGGGGAGCGGCAGACGGGUGAGUAACGCGGGGGAAUCUACCCAUCUCUACGGAAUAACGCAUGGAAACGUGUGCUAAUACCGUAUACGUCCUUCGGGAGACAGAUUUAUCGGAGAUGGAUGAGCCCGCGUUGGAUUAGCUAGUUGGGGGGGUAAAGGCCUACCAAGGCGACGAUCCAUAGCUGGUCUGAGAGGAUGAUCAGCCGCACUGGGACUGAGACCCGGCACAGACUCCUACGGGAGGCAGCAGUGGGGAAUAUUGGACAAUGGGCGCAAGCCUGAUCCAGCCAUGCCGCGUGAGUGAUGAAGGCCCUAGGGUUGUAAAGUUCUUUCACCGGUGAAGAUAAUGACGGUAACCGGAGAAGAAGCCCCGGCUAACUUCGUGCCAGCCGCCGCCGUAACAC